CAAAUUGUUUCCUUUCCUUUGUUUCACAUUUCUGGGCCUGUCUUCACGACAAACAACACCCGUUAAAAAGAAACAAGAUUAAGUUUCAUUCUGAAAGGAGGUGUGGGAAGAUCUGAGUGUCUAUUUCUCAUGCUGGUAGAGGGUGGAAUGCUGCUCUCAAGGAACAGAACAAUAUGAAGAAAUACCUGGAAUUCAAAGCUGAACACUGGAUGUGUGUUCUAAGCAGGACUGACAGCCUAGCCCAGCAUGGUGGAUGGUUGUUAGCAGAAAGAGAUACCCCUUCAUGCAAACAGCCUACAAAAUUGAAGUUCAGCCCUGAGAUUUUUAAACUGGGAACGUCAGAAGAAAUACAGCCCCCUGUCCAGUCCAACUAACUGGCAUGAGUCAGGCCCCAGAUGUUUUUACUUCUUGGUGUGACGUUCCACUGUCAAAAUGAAUCAUAAUGCAACUGGAAAUGUAAGGGCAUUAAGAAAGCGCACCUGCACUGACAGCAUCCUUUGCUCCAUUCAGAAUGCAGCCGAUCAGCAGUUUUUCCUCAUACCCCCUACUCUUUUCAUGAUCGGACUAUUGCUUUUGUAUUGCAUACAAGGAAGGCGUAAUAUAUGAACCAUCUGAGCUGUUAUGAAUGUUAAGCCCCAGCAGUGGUAUUGGAUGUCUUAAAAGAAUUUAGUGGGGAAACAAAACAGAGAUUCUUGAAAAAACUGCAUUACUGACAGGGCAAAGGCAUGAAAACAGCAGGUGGAGAUACACAGCAGCAACUCACUACCUCUGAUUCGAGAAGAACAUCAAAGCUCCUACUUGCUCCUAGUUGAAGACAACAGUCAUUUUUUUAAAAACAAGAAAGCAUGGAAAUAGUAUUGGGAAAGACUCUGCUCUUAAUAGGAAAUGUCUAGUUUCUCUUUCCUCUUACAUUCUAAUUGGGACCCCUAUCUUGAAAAGCUCUAAAGCAUGGGGUUCAAACUAUUUGUGUAGAAGACUGAAUUCCCCAUCUCACUAUAGGCUUUGGCUGGGGUGUAAAUUCUGGACCAUGGACACUCUUCAAUGCACAGCAAUUGGAACUCCCCCUGAUGUCAAAGGGAGGGCUCCACAAAGGGGAAGGAUUAUAUAUGGCCUUUGUAGUAAUUGAACAUUUAGUUAUUUACUACUUGUUCAGUUCCUUAUUGUCACGUACCACAUCAUUCGGUGGGAAUAUUAGCUUCUCUUCAGGACAUUGCUAUUUCUGACCUCUGUUUCUCAUCCUCCUUUCUUCCCGCAGUGUUUCCAUCUCAACAGCAGCUCCUAGCUUCCUCCAUGGACUCCAGUCCCACCCCACUCCUCAUUCAUCUGCUAAAAUUAUGGGCAAUUAAACUGUUUAUUGAUAUUUAAUGUCAUCAU
ensembl:lncRNA